GCUGACGAGUGGCGGACGGGUGAGUAAUGUCUGGGAAACUGCCUGAUGGAGGGGGAUAACUACUGGAAACGGUAGCUAAUACCGCAUAACGUCGCAAGACCAAAGAGGGGGACCUUCGGGCCUCUUGCCAUCGGAUGUGCCCAGAUGGGAUUAGCUAGUAGGUGGGGUAACGGCUCACCUAGGCGACGAUCCCUAGCUGGUCUGAGAGGAUGACCAGCCACACUGGAACUGAGACACGGUCCAGACUCCUACGGGAGGCAGCAGUGGGGAAUAUUGCACAAUGGGCGCAAGCCUGAUGCAGCCAUGCCGCGUGUAUGAAGAAGGCCUUCGGGUUGUAAAGUACUUUCAGCGGGGAGGAAGGGAGUAAAGUUAAUACCUUUGCUCAUUGACGUUACCCGCAGAAGAAGCACCGGCUAACUCCGUGCCAGCAGCCGCGGUAAUACGGAGGGUGCAAGCGUUAAUCGGAAUUACUGGGCGUAAAGCGCACGCAGGCGGUUUGUUAAGUCAGAUGUGAAAUCCCCGGGCUCAACCUGGGAACUGCAUCUGAUACUGGCAAGCUUGAGUCUCGUAGAGGGGGGUAGAAUUCCAGGUGUAGCGGUGAAAUGCGUAGAGAUCUGGAGGAAUACCGGUGGCGAAGGCGGCCCCCUGGACGAAGACUGACGCUCAG
rnacentral:rRNA from 1 species